rnacentral:lncRNA from 1 species
CACCAUGCCCAACUAAUUUUUUGUAUUUUUAGUAGAUAUGGGGUUUUACCAUGUUGACCAGGAUGGUCUCGAUCUCUUGACCUCGUGAUCCACUCGCCUCGGCCUCCCAAAGUGCUGGGAUUACAGGCUUGAGCCACCGCGCCCGGCCUAGAACUUAUUCUUGUAUCAACUGUAUUUUUGUAUCCAUUAACCAACUUUUCUAAAUUUUCUACUCCCCCCUUCCCUACCCAGCCUCUGGGAACACCUUUUUACUCUGCCUCCAUGAGAUCCGUUUUUUGGUUUUUUUUUUUAGGUCUCACAUAUGAGUGAGAACAUUCCAUAUUUGUCUUUCUGUGCUUGGCCUAUUUCGGGUUGCUGAAUUUUCUUAUUUCCCCAGAAGAGGGAUGCCAUGCCCAGCAACUCCCAGAUAUCAGAUCACAACACUGAACUCCAAACUGAGUGGCAGAGCAAGACUCUGUCUCAAAACCAAAAAAAAAAAAAUAAAAGUAAAAUGAAAUAAGGUUGACUUUUUUUUUAAGUUGUAAAGUGUCUCUUUACAACUUUUUUUUUUUUUAAUCUGGUGUGAAAGGCUCAGGGAGACAAUUCUUUUUAUUGUCAAGGGCCAAGAAACAAAGUGUAGAAAUACUAUACACAGUGGUCAUAAGCUACAAGAUAGGAGUGAG